GCUGGUCCCAGAAGGCGCCGGGUUUCCCAAGAUGGCGGCCGACGUGUCCGUUACUCACCGGCCGCCGCUGAGCCCAGAGGCGGAGGCCGAAGCGGAAACUCCCGAGACCGUCGAUCGCCGGGCGCCCGAACAAGAGUUGCCGCCGCUCGAUCCGGAAGAGAUCCGGAAACGCCUGGAACACACUGAGCGCCAGUUCCGUAACCGCCGCAAGAUACUGAUCCGAGGCCUCCCGGGGGACGUGACCAACCAGGAAGUACAUGACCUCCUGAGCGACUACGAACUCAAGUACUGUUUCGUGGACAAAUACAAAGGGACAGCUUUUGUGACUCUGCUGAAUGGGGAGCAGGCUGAAGCUGCCAUCAACACCUUCCACCAGAGCCGCCUUCGAGAGCGGGAGCUGUCAGUUCAGUUGCAGCCUACCGAUGCUCUGCUGUGCGUGGCCAACCUACCACCUAGUCUGACACAGGCACAAUUUGAAGAGCUGGUGCGGCCCUUUGGCAGCCUGGAGCGCUGCUUCCUAGUGUACAGUGAGCGCACUGGCCACUCUAAAGGAUAUGGCUUUGCAGAGUACAUGAAGAAAGACUCAGCAGCCAGGGCCAAGUCUGACUUGCUGGGCAAGCCACUGGGCCCACGCACACUGUAUGUGCACUGGACAGAUGCUGGGCAGCUGACCCCUGCAUUGUUGCACUCUCGAUGCCUCUGUGUGGACCACCUGCCACCUGGCUUCAGUGAUGUGGAUGCCCUGCGCCGGGCUCUGUCAGUGGUCUAUACCCCCACCUUCUGUCAGCUGGCAUGUGGCCAGGAUGGGCAGCUAAAGGGCUUCGCGGUGCUGGAGUACGAGACAGCAGAGAUGGCAGAGGCAGCACAAGAACGGGCAGAUGGCCAGGCCCUGGGUGACAGCCACCUACGUGUGUCUUUCUGUGCCCCAGGUCCCCCUGGCCGCAGCAUGCUAGCAGCACUCAUUGCUGCCCAGGCCACGGCUCUUAAUCGAGGCAAGGGACUCCUGCCUGAGCCAAAUCUUCUGCAGCUGUUGAACAACCUGGGCCCAUCUGCAUCCCUCCAGCUGCUCCUCAACCCUCUGCUUCAUGGGGGAGCCAGUGGCAAGCAGGGUCUCCUGGGUGCGCCCCCUGCUAUGCCACUGCUCAGCGGGCCUGCCCUGUCCACUGCACUGCUGCAGCUAGCCCUGCAGAGCCAGAGCCAGAACCAGAGCCAGGGUCAGAAGAAGCCUGGGAUCCUGGGCGACUCACCUCUGGGUACCCUCCAGGCCGGGGCCCAACCUUCCAACUCCCUCCUUGGGGAGCUGUCUGCAGGGGGGGGCCUAGCCCCGGAACUGCCGCCCCGCCGAGGGAAGCCACAACCCUUACUACCACCAUUGCUGGGUCCCUCUGGGGGUGACCGGGAGCCCAUGGGUCUGGGUCCCCCAGCAACCCAGCUCACUCCACCCCCAGCCCCUGUGGGGCUCCGAGGCUCCAACCAUAGAGGCCUCCCAAAGGACAGUGGGCCCCUGCCAACGCCCCCUGGGGUCUCACUGCUGGGGGAGCCCCCAAAGGACUACCGCAUCCCCCUCAACCCCUACCUGAAUCUACACAGCCUGCUUCCAUCCAGUAACCUGGCAGGCAAGGAGACCCGGGGCUGGGGAGGCUCUGGGAGAGGCCGCCGCCCAGCUGAGCCCCCCUUGCCUAGCCCUGCAGUUCCUGGUGGAGGCAGUGGUAGCAACAAUGGCAACAAAGCCUUCCAAAUGAAGUCCCGCCUGCUCAGCCCCAUCGCCAGCAACCGCCUGCCCCCUGAGCCAGGGCUGCCUGACAGCUAUGGCUUUGAUUAUCCCACAGAUGUGGGACCUAGACGACUCUUCUCCCACCCUCGGGAACCAACCUUAGGGGCUCAUGGCCCCAGCCGACACAAGAUGUCCCCCCCACCUAGCAGCUUCAAUGAGCCCCGAAGUGGUGGAGGCAGUGGGGGACCCCUCUCUCAUUUUUACUCUGGCUCACCCACCUCCUACUUCACCAGUGGCCUACAGGCUGGCCUCAAGCAGAGCCACCUGAACAAGGCUGUUGGUUCCUCUCCAAUGGGCUCCAGUGAAGGGCUCCUGGGCCUGGGCCCUGGGCCCAAUGGUCACAGUCACCUGCUGAAGACCCCACUGGGUGGCCAGAAACGCAGUUUUUCCCACCUGCUGCCCUCACCUGAGCCCAGCCCAGAGGGCAGCUACGUGGGCCAGCACUCCCAGGGCCUCGGCGGCCACUACGCGGACUCCUACCUGAAGCGGAAGAGGAUUUUCUAAGGGGUCGACACCAGAGAUGCUCCAAGGGCCUGCACCAAGUUGCUUUUGGGUUUUUUCUGGCGAGCGGCGUGCUGGCGAGGAGGCGGCGGACAGCCCGGAGCUGCCCCGGGACGUGGUCAACGUGGUGUUCGUGGACCGCUCUGGCAAGCGGAUCCCGGUGAGGGGCAAAGUCGGGGACAAUGUUCUAUACCUGGCCCAGCGCCACGGGGUGGACCUGGAAGGGGCCUGCGAAGCAUCCCUGGCCUGUUCCACCUGUCAUGUGUAUGUGAGUGAGGCCCACCUGGAUCUCCUGCCUCCUCCUGAGGAGAGGGAGGACGACAUGUUGGACAUGGCUCCACUGCUCCAAGAGAACUCAAGACUGGGCUGCCAGAUUGUGCUGACCCCUGAGCUAGAGGGAGUUGAAUUUGCUCUUCCCAAGAUCACCAGGAACUUCUAUGUGGACGGCCACAUCCCCAAGCCCCACUGACAUGAGGCCACUGGACAGACCAGGCCAUGGAACUGAAAAGAAAAGCCACGCUUCCUACUCCAGAGGACGGACUGCCCAGGAAAGAGAAGUUGGACCCACAGUGUGAGACCAGAGCUGCCACUGGGGACAGCCAGUGUCUGAGCCCUGAGGGGGAUGGGUCUCCAUCUUGGGUGUGUCAGUCCACCAGGGAGAAUCGAACUAUAAAUUAAGGAUGGACUCUAACCAGAGCUGCAAUAAAAAGUCACACACAUCUCC
rnacentral:lncRNA from 1 species